GCGGCGCCGCACGUCGUCCUGCGGCGGUCCUCCCGUUUGCGCGAUAGCCUCUCACUCUGCGCCACCGAGUUAUGCACAGGGCAAGAACUUUUCCUGAACAUCAAGCAGCCUUCACUGGACAGCACCACAAACUGGCUUAAGCCACCCACUCUUCAUGGCCAGACUUGUUCUCUUUUCCCUGGGAGUUGAGGAAGGAAGCAUAGACUGAAAUUGAGGUUCUUCCGCCAGUCUUCACAACAGGAAGUGAGAAGGCCCGGAGUCAAAGGCUAAUCUGGGCUUCACUCCCGUGAGGAUACAAUCUCAUGGGUGAUCAGACCCCAGGAAAAUUAUUCCACUGAGUCAAGGAUUGAUGGUGCCUAGGUGCAGAGGAGGCAGUGCGACCCUAAGUACCAAGGAGACCUUCCCGGGUUUCUUUGGGGCAGCCUAAGUCAGCUCGUGACAGGCCAGGAACCUCAAGCUCUGUUGGAGCCCCAGGAACAGUCAUCUUCCAUGGCCUGCGUGGCCCAACCUGCCUUUGCCCACACCCAGCUGUCUGGCACCAUCUUCUCCCUUUCCACUCCUGCCGUGGGUCCCAUCUGUCCCUUCCCUGAAACCCUCAUCUCAGACAUCUGUGUGGCUCACAUCGUGACCAUCCUUGGGAUUAAAUAUCGCUUAUUCAGAGAAGCAUUCCCUGGCCUCCCUACUUAAAACAAUACUGCACUCCAAAACUUCCUUGCUUUAUUUUACCCCAUAGCACUACAUGACCAUAUUGUCUGUUUUCCCCACUGGAAUGUAAGUCCAAAAGUUCAGGGAUUAGAACAAUGCUUGGCAUGCAGGAGGCAAAAUAAAUAUUUGUUGAAUGAAUAAAUGAGUUAA